AACGAACGCUGGCGGCAGGCUUAACACAUGCAAGUCGAACGGAUCCUUCGGGAUUAGUGGCAGACGGGUGAGUAACGCGUGGGAACGUACCCUUUGCUACGGAAUAACUCAGGGAAACUUGAGCUAAUACCGUAUGUGCCCUACGGGGGAAAGAUUUAUCGGCAAAGGAUCGGCCCGCGUUGGAUUAGCUAGUUGGUGGGGUAAUGGCCUACCAAGGCGACGAUCCAUAGCUGGUCUGAGAGGAUGAUCAGCCACACUGGGACUGAGACACGGCCCAGACUCCUACGGGAGGCAGCAGUGGGGAAUAUUGGACAAUGGGCGCAAGCCUGAUCCAGCCAUGCCGCGUGAGUGAUGAAGGUCUUAGGAUUGUAAAGCUCUUUCACCGGUGAAGAUAAUGACGGUAGCCGGAGAAGAAGUCCCGGCUAACUUCGUG
rnacentral:rRNA from 1 species